GUGAGCUGAGUCGUGAUCUUCCUCUAAGUUCUGUGGAGUGGAAUCCUCCAGGGGCCCCCUGGAGCAGUAAGGCUGUGUGGGCAGCGGCUGCAGAGACAAAAAUCCAUCUUCCAAGAGGUCACUGUGUCCCGAGUGAACUAUUCUGCUGGGAGAAAUUAUGUCAGAAGUUCCUGGGCUGACAAUGCUUCUGCCUUGCAGGCUGCCAGGACCAAGGCCUCCCACAGGUACCCCACGACAGUGGACCUGGCACUUCAGACUCGCAGUGCAGUUUUUUCUGGCAUCUGCUGUGUGCUGGUGGUGAAUCACAUAGCCUGUUUCCAUGUGUCACGUGCCACGAGGCUGAGGCACAGCAUGAGAUCUCAUUUUGCGAAGCCCAAGGAUGGAUUUCUCGUGAAGUGACGGGAAAUGACCAAAUUGAAUGUCUCCAUGGAAGAAAACAUUACUUGAGAAUAUUAGACUAGUUUUUGCAGGUUUAGGUUCCAGUUACUGAGUAAACAUAACUAAGCCGCAGUUUUCCAGAUUUGCAGCUCUGUUCCCAUUUUAGACACCUCUCUGUGAAGGUGAUGUCUCUGUACUGCUGCCAACCAGUGUCUUCCAUGAGGAAUGACUUUCAGAAAGAGGACCUAGUAGGUGGUCCCUGAGAUAUUUGCAAUCAAAGCUGUAAAUAAAACCCGGGAG